CAGUCGCCGCGGGAAAACGGAGGGUGCAAGCGUUAUCCGGAUUUAUUGGGUUUAAAGGGUCCGUAGGCGGAUCUGUAAGUCAGUGGUGAAAUCUCACAGCUUAACUGUGAAACUGCCAUUGAUACUGCAGGUCUUGAGUAAAUUUGAAGUGGCUGGAAUAAGUAGUGUAGCGGUGAAAUGCAUAGAUAUUACUUAGAACACCAAUUGCGAAGGCAGGUCACUAAGAUUUAACUGACGCUGAUGGACGAAAGCGUGGGGAGCGAACAGGAUUAGAUACCCCAGUAGUCCCUGUCUCUUAUAC
rnacentral:rRNA from 1 species